AUGAACGCUGGCGGCGUGCCUAAUACAUGCAAGUCGAACGCGCAGCGAGAGGUGCUUGCACCUUUCAAGCGAGUGGCGAACGGGUGAGUAACACGUGGAUAACCUGCCUCAAGGCUGGGGAUAACAUUUGGAAACAGAUGCUAAUACCGAAUAAAACUUAGUAUCGCAUGAUAUCAAGUUAAAAGGCGCUACGGCGUCACCUAGAGAUGGAUCCGCGGUGCAUUAGUUAGUUGGUGGGGCAAAGGCUUACCAAGACGAUGAUGCAUAGCCGAGUUGAGAGACUGAUCGGCCACAUUGGGACUGAGACACGGCCCAAACUCCUACGGGAGGCUGCAGUAGGGAAUCUUCCACAAUGGGCGCAAGCCUGAUGGAGCAACGCCGCGUGUGUGAUGAAGGCUUUCGGGUCGUAAAGCACUGUUGUAUGGGAAGAAAUGCUAAAAUAGGGAAUGAUUUUAGUUUGACGGUACCAUACCAGAAAGGGACGGCUAAAUACGUG
rnacentral:rRNA from 1 species